AUCCUUUGUUCACAAAAUAAAACAACUUUAUUUUUAGUUGUUUAAUUCCAAUUAAAUUACUUUCCUGUCCAGAAAUGUACUAAAAACAGUAGAUUAAACACAGAUAUGUGAAUAUUUCUUAAUAAAAAUGUGAACAUUUCAUCAAGUUCCUGCCAACAGCAAUCAUUAUUUACAAUAACUCUGAAUAAUCCGAACUGAUGUGAGUUACAACAACAUUUAAUUUCUCUUUGGGAUCCAUAAAGUAUUUUAAAUUUUACCCAAUUUUUACAUGACUUUAUAACCUUUUAACGGAACCUCAGUUUAACAAUCUUAGGCUUUUAAUUUAAGCUAACAUUUAACAAAAAUCUGUUUAGAGCUCCCGAGUGUGUGUGUUUAUAUAUAUAUGUGUGUGUGUGUGUGUGUGUGUGUGUGUGUAGGGGUGUGUGUGGGUGUGUAGGGGUGUGUGUGUGUGUGUGUGUGAAUAGUGGGGUCUGCAUCUGUGUUGCUGUGGACCGAGGAGGGUGGAGGGGAAGAAUGAGAAAAAAAAAUAGGUCACCCCUUAAAACAAAAAGCUUGCAGUCAACAUCGUAACCGUCUGCUGAAUUUCCAUUGGCUGGCCUGUCUCCAUGGUAACAGGUUAACCUUGAGGCAGUAGUCACAUGAGCGAGCCAGUCUUCUGCUGUCUUGGAGGAUACAGAGCACGUCGUGUGACAUCCCCGUCCACGGUGCCAGCCAGUCACGAACGCAUUAGUGGAAGGAGCAGGGAGAACAGGAGAUUUCUCCCUGGAAAGAGGGAUUAGCCUGAGCGACACUGCCCCCUGCAGGCCGAACAGUGUACUGCAGCCUGGGAGAGCAGGGCGGCCUGCGUGUGAACCCUGCGAGUCUGAGGAGGUAAAAAUAUUCAGCUGCCAGCCUGUGACCGUCCGUGACCUCAGCUGGGAGCUUCUCCGUUCAAGCAGUGGUUUCUACUCGUGUGAGUGCAGAGAAAACUGAAUACAGGCUCAGAUCCCCCCCCCCCCUCUCUCGCUCUACGGAAGAGGAUUAGGACAAAAACAAAACA